rnacentral:rRNA from 1 species
UACGAAGGGGGCUAGCGUUGCUCGGAAUCACUGGGCGUAAAGGGUGCGUAGGCGGGUUUUUAAGUCAGGGUGAAAUCCUGGAGCUCAACUCCAGAACUGCCUUUGAUACUGAAGAUCUCGAGUCCGGGAGAGGUGAGUGGAACUGCGAGUGUAGAGGUGAAAUUCGUAGAUAUUCGCAAGAACACCAGUGGCGAAGGCGGCUCACUGGCCCGGUACUGACGCUGAGGCACGAAGGCCAGGGGAGCAAACGGG